rnacentral:rRNA from 1 species
AGAGUUUGAUCCUGGCUCAGAACGAACGCUGGCGGCAGGCUUAACACAUGCAAGUCGAACGCCCCGCAAGGGGAGUGGCAGACGGGUGAGUAACACGUGGGAACGUACCCUGAACUACGGAACAGCUCCGGGAAACUGGAAUUAAUACCGUAUGUGUCCUGAGGGACAAAGGUUUACCGGUUCAGGAUCGGCCCGCGUCCGAUUAGCUGGUUGGUGGGGUAAUGGCCUACCAAGGCGACGAUCGGUAGCUGGUCUGAGAGGAUGAUCAGCCCCAUUGGGACUGAGACACGGCCCAAACUCCUACGGGAGGCAGCAAGGGCGAAUUUUGCCAGAUAUCCAUCUCUCUGCCGGCCUCUCGAUCCUCCAUCUCGUCGUGUGUUCCAAUGUCAGCCAUGACUAUGGCCAUUGAUUACCGAGUUCA